AGAAGGGAUUGUUUAUGAGGGUCAAGGAGCUGGAGGCCUGGGGAGGAGCUGGUGUUUCUGUUCAAGUUUGAGGGUCCUGGAGCUGGAGCCCAGGGGAGGAGCCAGUGCUGCCACUGAUGUCUUAGGGUCGUGGAGCUGAAGAUCCCAGAGGAGCCGGUGCUGCUAUUCUAGCUUGAGUUUCGUGGAGCUGGAGACCCAGGGAGAAGAUGGUGCUGCUGUUCUAAUUUAAGGAUCGUGAAACAGAAGACCCAGAAAGGAGCUGGUGCUGCCGCUGCUCAGAUCUGAGGGUGUUGGAGCUGGAGCCUGGGGGUGGAGCCAUUGCUGCCAUUGAAGUGUGAGAGUCAUUGAGCUGGAAGUCCAGGAAGCAGCUGGUGCUGCUGUUCUAGUUUGAGGGUUGUGGAGUGCAGACCCAGGCAGGAGCAACAUUGCUGUAGUUCGAGGGUCAGAAAGCUGGCGACCCAGGGAGGAGAGGUCUUGUUCUAGUUUGAUUUUCGUGGAGCUGCAGACCCAGGCAGGAGCAAUGUUGCUGUAGUUCGAGGGUCCGGUAGCUGGCAACCCGGGGAGGAGAAGUCUUGUUCGAGUUUGAGGGUCGUGGAGCUGCCGACCCAGGGAGGAGCAAUUUGGUUGUAAUUUGAGGGUCCAGAAGCUGGAGACCCAGGGAGGAGAGAGAUCUUGUUCUGGUCUGAGGGUUGUGGAGCCACAGACCCAGGGAGGAGCAAUUUUGUUGUAAUUUGAGGGUCAGGAAGCUGGCGACCCAGGGAGGAGAGGUCUUGUUCUAGUUUGAGGGUCGUGGAGCUGCCGACCCAGGGAGGAGCAAUUUUGUUGUAAUUCGAGGAUCAGGAAGCUGGCGACCCAGUGGAGGAGAGGUCUUGUUCUGGUCUGAGGGUCGUGGAGCUGCAGACCCAGGGAGGAGCAAUUUUGUUGUAAUUCAAGGGUCCGGAAGCUGGUGACCCAGGGAGGAGAGGUCUUGUUCUGGUCUGAGGGUCCUGGAGCUACAGACCCAGGGAGGAGCAAUGUUGUUGUAAUUUGAGGGUUCGGUAGCUGGCACCCUGGGGAGGAGAAGUCUUGUUCUAGUUUGAGGGUGGUGGAGCUGCAGAGCCAGGGAGGAGCAGUGUUGUUGUAGUUUGAGGGUCAUGGAGGUACAGACCCAGGGAGGAGCCGUGUUGUUUUGAGUGUCGUGGAGCCGGAGAUCCACGGAGGAGCUGG
rnacentral:lncRNA from 10 species